UAACGCCCUUUGAGCGAAAGGGAAUCCGGUUCCUAUUCCGGAACCCGGCAGCGGAACCGUUUCAAUAAUCGUUCCCUCGUCUUUAAAAACGAGUGUUCGACGGGGUAACCCAAAGUGGCCUGA
rnacentral:rRNA from 1 species